UACGAAGGGGGCUAGCGUUGUUCGGAAUUACUGGGCGUAAAGCGCCCGUAGGCGGAUAUUUAAGUCAUGGGUGAAAUCCCGGGGCUCAACCCCGGAACUGCCUUUGAUACUGGGUAUCUAGAGUAUGGUAGAGGUGAGUGGAAUUCCGAGUGUAGAGGUGAAAUUCGUAGAUAUUCGGAGGAACACCAGUGGCGAAGGCGGCUCACUGGACCAUUACUGACGCUGAGGUGCGAAAGCGUGGGGAGCAAACAGG
rnacentral:rRNA from 1 species